rfam:Populus trichocarpa scaffold_12_contig_60, whole genome shotgun sequence.
AGACUUGUUUCACUGGUCCAUAAAUACAUUUGUUAUAUCAUCCAUACUUGACUGCUCAAAAUGACCCGUUAUUGUAAGCUCGGAUAUAUUUGUCUCCCACCUCUCUAAAAACUUUGGUACAUUAUGACCUUAAU